ACGCUGUGACGACGCGCGCGGCGAGCUACUUCCGGUAUUCCCGGCCAAUAACGGGGGCAGGGAGGAGGAACGCCUCGAUGUGCCGCCCUGCCCCCCCCCACCCCCUCCCUGGGGCUGAGGGUUAACCCCUUUGCUGCCAGGCUGCAUUAGCUACCUCUGACCACCUGAGCCCCUCCCUAGAAGCACCCCGUAGAGAAGAAGAAGAAGAAGAAGAAGAAGAAGAAGAAGAAGAAGAAGAAGAAGAAGAAGGCAUUCUCUGAGGAGGAGGAGGAGGAGGAGGAGGAGGAGGAGGAGGAGGAGGAGGAGAAGGAGAAGGAGAAGAAGAAGAAGAAGAAGGCAUUCUCUGACCUGAGGGCAGGACUAGAACCAAUGGGCUGAAAUUACAAGGAAGCAGAUUUAGGCUAGACACUAGGAAGAACUAAUUAACGGUUUAUUGUUCAAACUCAGUGUUGGUUCCAGCAGUUCCCAAUGUACAAGAGAAAGAGCAGAAGGUGGAACUGAACAAAGUUUAAAGGAUUUAGGAAGUCUUACUGCAUCAUACCUGGUGGACCCCAAGAGAGUUUUUCUAUCACCACUAAAGACUUUGGGCACAAAGGAGGGGGGAGGUCUCAGGGUCUCAGGGAUCAGCAGCGGGUGUUUCUGAGGUCCCUUGACAGCUUCCCAAAGAUGCUGACCUGACACCAGCCUUGAAGAAACAGGUUCUCCUCUAACUCGCAGGGACUUCAGGAACCGUGAAAGAAACUUUACAACUGGCUACUACCCAACAGCAACCCUGGGAAGAGGCAAUCCAUGAAACUCUAAUUGCUUAUCAAACUAUUCCUCAUUCUACUACAGGAAAACCAG